rnacentral:tRNA from 1 species
CAAGAUGUAGCUUAAUAAAGCAAUUCGCUUACACCGAAUAGAUGCCCGCUAAACCGGACCAUUUUGU